CCCUUAGAUGUUCUGGGCCGCACGCGCGCUACACUGAUGAACGCAACGAGACCACCUGUACCGAAAGGCAUGGGUAAACUUGUGAAAGUUCAUCGUGAUGGGGAUAGAUUAUUGCAAUUAUUAAUCUUCAACGAGGAAUUCCUAGUAAGCGCGAGUCAUCAGCUCGCGUUGAUUACGUCCCUGCCCUUUGUACACACCGCCCGUCGCUCCUACCGAUUGAAUGGUCCGGUGAAAUCUUCGGGUUGCUGGAUAGGACUUCAUUGACCUAUCUGCGAGAAGUUGCUUGAACCUUAUCAUUUAGAGGAAGGAGAAGUCGUAACA
rnacentral:rRNA from 1 species